GAGACUUUGCAUGGUGAUAUGGUUGCUCCUAGUAUAUCUGCAGCAGAUGAACAGAGAGAACGAAUGAAAGCUAGCAGAUUUAAGGUCCUUGAGAAAGAUGCAGCUAGGCGCCGCCAAUUGCAGGUGGCUUGAGGUUCUGUUUUUCUUCUGUCGUGUUCUAAAUUAUGUUUCAUUGUGUUGAGCUGUGGAUGGCAAUUGAACUCAUGGAUAUAGGCAUCAAGG